AGAAACCACAAGGGGAGCCUUUUAGGCUGAGAUAGAACGAUUGAGUUCGGACCCUUUGAACCUGUUUAGUUAGCACUUGCGUAGGGAUGUGGGCAACAAAGAUU
rnacentral:ncRNA from 1 species